CUACGGGUCGCAGCAGUGGGGAAUAUUGCACAAUGGGCGCAAGCCUGAUGCAGCAACGCCGCGUGAGGGAUGAAGGCCUUCGGGUUGUAAACCUCUUUUAGCAGGGAAGAAGCGAAAGUGACGGUACCUGCAGAAAAAGCACCGGCUAACUACGUGCCAGCAGCCGCGGUAAUACGUAGGGUGCAAGCGUUGUCCGGAAUUAUUGGGCGUAAAGAGCUCGUAGGCGGUUUGUCACGUCUGCUGUGAAAAUCCAAGGCUCAACCUUGGACUUGCAGUGGGUACGGGCAGGCUAGAGUGCGGUAGGGGAGAUGGGAAUUCCUGGUGUAGCGGUGGAAUGCGCAGAUAUCAGGAGGAACACCAAUGGCGAAGGCACAUCUCUGGGCCGUAACUGAUGCUGAGGAGCGAAAGCGUGGGGAGCGAACAGGAUUAGAUACCCCGGUAGUC
rnacentral:rRNA from 1 species